rnacentral:lncRNA from 1 species
CAUACUCGUCGGCUUGGUGUAGUUCAAUGGUCAGUACCAAAUGUGGAACUCCCUUGCUGCUGGCAACUACUGUUUGCUAUGGUGAAGAAGUGAAGAAUUGAAGAUCGAAACUUUUUUCACCAUACAGCUGCAUUAAGGUAGUUUUAUUUGGUAAGUUCAUUUUUGCAAACACCUCUUGUGUUUUGAUGCUUCUAAAUUAUUAGGAUUUUUUUCACAUGAGCCAAACAACAUGUUUGGUGGGAACCAUAUAUUUGAUGCUAAUACAAGAGAAAGUACUAGUAUGAUUUGACAGCUUGAAUCGACAUGGGAAUUCAGAUUAAGAUCCAACCUUACAAGUUGUAAUGUGAUUGGAAAUUGGUAAAGGUGCUAAUUAAUAUGAAAAAAAAGGUGGGGAUUUUAAUUUAAAUGGGCAAACAUGCUAUAGGGAUAUGUAUCAAUUGUCUGUGCAGUCUCUUCAUGCUGCAUCCCUUGACUUUGUUCAGAAGUUCUGAAAUAACCAGAUGACUGAAGUAAUGAAGCACCUUCAACAUGAUAGUAGUCUGGCAUUUGCAUGUGAUUGUAGUUAGUGGGA